GAAUAUUAGUCAAUGCUCGAAAGAGUGAACUAGCUAACUGAAAUCAAUAAUAAUAAUUGAUAACAUAAGGGAAAAAAAUGAUAUUACCUUAUUAUUAGUGUCGUCCAAAGCUGGUGCCAGAAGACUCGGUAAGGCCAGAGACACAAACGUUAAUCGUCUUAAUCAGGCGUAAAGGGUUUGUAGGCGGCUUUAAAAUUUACUAAUACAAAUAAAUAAUAAGUAAAGAAUAAAAGCUAGAAUCAAAUAGAGGAUAUAUGAAAGAAUGCUUAGAGUAGGUCUGAUAUCCUUAGAUACUAAGUAGAAUAUUAAAGGCGAAAGCUUUUUUCCAUUAAUGAUUGACGCUCAGAAACGAAGGUGAGGAUAGGAAAUAGGAUUAGAUACCCAGAAUACCCCUCUCUGUCAACGAUGAAUGGUAGUUAUUAGUAAAAAUUUAUUAAUGGCAAUGUUAACACGAUAACCAUUCCGCCUUGUGAGUACAACUGCAAAGUUGAAAACAAAAAAAUUAGUCGGUUUCGGAGCAAACGAAGUGAAGCAUGUUAUUUAAUC
rnacentral:rRNA from 1 species